UACGAAGGGGGGCUAGCGUUGCUCGGAAUCACUGGGCGUAAAGGGUGCGUAGGCGGGUCUUUUAAGUCAGGGGUGAAAUCCUGGAGCUCAACUCCAGAACUGCCUUUUGAUACUGAGGAUCUUGAGUUCUGGAGAGGUGAGUGGAACUGCGAGUGUAGAGGUGAAAUUCGUAGAUAUUCGCAAGAACACCAGUGGCGAAGGCGGCUCACUGGCCCGAUACUGACGCUGAGGCACGAAAGCGUGGGGAGCAAACAGG
rnacentral:rRNA from 1 species